GAUGAGAACCUCCGGGGGCAGGGAGGUUCGACUCGAGCGAAGCGAGAGAACGUUGCGCCAGCAACGGCCCGCAGGGCGAGCCACGAAGUGGCGAGUAAUCCUCUAUCACCGACCA
rnacentral:sRNA from 1 species